GUGAGAGGCCUCCCCGGAGCCCACCCUGCUGCCACCCAACCCCCGACUUCCAACUUCCAGGAGGGUGACAAGUCAGAGACCGGGGCUGAAGCACCCCAGGCCACCAUGUCUGGUUGUGGCAUCGGAGCGGAGCCGAGCAGGAGAGGGCGUGAGGGGCAGGGCGGACGUGGAGAUGAGCAAGACCUGAUUCCUGUCCCUAAGGAGAGGCUUCCGGGUGGACUGGACGUGAGUCAUCACCUGAAGUUUGAGAUGUUGUGAAAAAGCUGCAAGAAAGGGUGACCUAGACGGUGGCAGUUGGUGGCGGUUGGUGCACGCACAGGAAACACGGAAGGGCUCCUCUGCACCCCUCCCCUGCCGGGGUGACCUGGCAAUCUGCUAGCAGCCACUUCCCGGGCACCCCUGCCCUCCAGGGUCCCUCCUCUGCUCACCCUCCCCAAAUGAAAUACUCCCCCCUGCCCCCCCCAAGCCCUUCCUGC